rnacentral:rRNA from 1 species
CGAAAGCCUGACGGAGCAACGCCGCGUGGGGGAAGAAGGUUCUUGGAUUGUAAACCCCUUUUCUCAGGGAAGAAGUUCUGACGGUACCUGAGGAAUCAGCCUCGGCUAACUCCGUGCCAGCAGCCGCGGUAAUACGGAGGAGGCAAGCGUUAUCCGGAAUUACUGGGCGUAAAGCGUUCGUAGGGGGCUCGUCAAGUCUGCUGUCAAAGACCGGAGCUCAACUCCGGGCAGGCAGUGGAAACUGGGGAGCUAGAGGGCGGCAGGGGCAGAAGGAAUUCCCGGUGUAGCGGUGAAAUGCGUAGAGAUUGGGAAGAACACCGGUGGCGAAAGCGCUCUACUGGGUCGCACCUGACCCUCAGGGACGAAAGCUAAGGUAGCG